CUCAACACAUACAACAUCUACAACAUCACCGCUAGGGGGAAGCAUCGCUUAAAUUUAGAUGUGAGGCUGCAACAUUGCUGAAAAUUUCAAGAGAAAAACAGAGACUCACAUCAGAUCAUAUAACCUCUCUUUCUCACUCUGACUCUCUGUGUGUUUUACUCACAUCAACAAUGACACAGUGGAUGAUUAUUGCUCUUUUCUUCACUGCUCAUCAUUCUGGAUGUAACUCUCAGGACAGUGUUGACCAGAAUACAAGAUUUCAAACAGCUCUUGAAGGAGCAGCUGUAACAAUCUCUUGUACAUAUAAAAGCACUUAUCCAUCUCCAACUCUCUUCUGGUACCAACAAAAAGUCAAUGGAUUCCCAAAGUACAUGCUGAAUAGAAUUGGUGCUCAUGGAGAUAAAGACAAAGAUUUUAAGGAGAGAUUUAAUGCAGAUCUUGACACAUCUUCAAAAUCAUUUCCAUUGAUAAUUCAGGAUCUUCAUGUGUCUGACUCUGCUGUGUAUUACUGUGCUCUGCGGCCCACAGUCACUAAAACACAUUCAACACUCAUACUCAAACCCUGAACAGCUAAAUCUCUAAACACAACUGCACUAAGCUUAACUAAACAGCUGCAGUUUUCAUUUAUGAUAAAAGUCAGCAGUGAAUGCAUUUUACUGAACCUUUUAAGAGCAUCAGUUAUGCUU